UAGGGAAUCUUCCACAAUGGACGCAAGUCUGAUGGAGCAACGCCGCGUGAGUGAAGAAGGUUUUCGGAUCGUAAAGCUCUGUUGUUGGUGAAGAAGGAUAGAGGCAGUAACUGGCCUUUAUUUGACGGUAAUCAACCAGAAAGUCACGGCUAACUACGUGCCAGCAGCCGCGGUAAUACGUAGGUGGCAAGCGUUGUCCGGAUUUAUUGGGCGUAAAGCGAGCGCAGGCGGAAUGAUAAGUCUGAUGUGAAAGCCCACGGCUCAACCGUGGAACUGCAUCGGAAACUGUCAUUCUUGAGUGCAGAAGAGGAGAGUGGAACUCCAUGUGUAGCGGUGGAAUGCGUAGAUAUAUGGAAGAACAGCCAA
rnacentral:rRNA from 1 species